GUCAAACUCCUAACAUCCAAUCCUAAAACUUUUUGUUUAAGCUCCUCUCUCCUGGUCUGCCUGUGAUCUCUCCAUAAGGUUUGAUAUCAAAAAGACCAAAUCAGCUGUCUCUUUCUCUAUGAAUUGUUUGUUCAUUCCUUCAACUGUUACUUAACUGAUCGCGCACUCUCUGCCAAGCUUUCUCCUAAGCUAUGUGGUGUAUUGGAAAGAACGUGGUUCCUACGGUCAGAGAGAGCUUAUUUCAGAUUCCUGCUCUGCUACCUAGAAGCCACCCUCUUGAACAGGAAGAAUGAAUAAGGUUUACUGACAGGCUUGACUAUAGGGAGAUGAAGCGAAGACCAGAUCCUCUGACUUUCUGAGACAAGAAACUGGCCUGGAAAGGAACAAGGAUUUUUACUCGGAG